rnacentral:rRNA from 1 species
AUAGAUUUUAAUUGAUGCUAAAAGAAUGGAAAUUUAAAAAAAAACUUUUUUAAAAAUAAAAAUUGAAUUUUUUUUAAUUUGUGCAAAAACAAUUAUAUUUAUUAAAGACAAGAAGACCCUAAGAAUUUAAGAUUUUACAAUUAAAAAGUUUUUUUUUUAAAAUCUUGAUUGGGGCGAUCAAAAAAUAUUAAUAACUUUUUAAAAUUUAAAUUGAUCUAUUAUUAAUAAACUAAUGAAUUAAAUACUCUAGGGAUAACAGCGUAAUAAUUUUUGAUAAAUCUUAUUGACAAAAUAGUUUGCGACCUCGAUGUUGGAUUAGGAUUCUUUUUUAAUGAAGAAGUUAAAAAAAGAAGUUUGUUCAACUUUUAAAUUCCUACUUGAUCUGAGUCCAAACCGGA